rfam:Otolemur garnettii contig002614, whole genome shotgun sequence.
GUGCUGACUUCAUCUGCACAUAUGUUAAAAUUGGAGCAAUAGAAAGAAUAUUGGCAGGGCCCCUUCAUGGGGAUGACAUGGAAAUCUGUGAAGCCUUCUCUAUUUUU